CCGACCUCCGCUAUAACAGUGCGGGAAUCAUCAGCUCUUCGCAGGACGCAGACCGUCCUUUCUCAACCUCACCUCAGCUUUCAGAGUGCGUGGUGGAGCCCAAGUGUGAGCUGAUCGGGUUAGGACGAAAGGAGGUCGCCGACACUCCUUCGCCGGUCUUCUCAUUAAUAGCAAUGAGAUUACCAGAAGACGCCUCCCAGAAACCAUGGCAACAAAACCCUGCUGCUCCACCCUCCAAUCAAUCUGUUACCAUAACAACAUGAAGUGGUAGGAAGUCUGUCCCACCUGAUGCUAUUAACCCAGUACUUACCUUGUUUCUAAGACCUAAUCUUCCCAAUAGACUGACUCAGAGAGUCUUUGUUCCAGUUUCACACAUGCUCUUGAUGUUCCUGUCUUUGAACCUCACCUGCGUUUUUGGACUCCAUUUUAAAUGUUUGCCUCUACUCUGCUUAGUUAUUUCUCUGGCCUUGGAACUGUCUGUGCCCUGGUUUUGCUCCUGGAUUUUCUCAGUGUACUUUCACUACCUUGUUGGCAACAAACUCUACUUGAUGUCUGACGGCAGCUUGGAUUGUACUUUACCGAUACCUGCCUGCCGGCUUUACCCUGCACCUGGGUUCUCCUGCACCACCUUCAAACUCUGCUCUCAGCCAAUCUUCUUGACAGAAGUGGAGGUUUAUAUUGAGAACAUUCUGGAGUCUUCCCACUCUUAUCAGGAGUCCAGCAUAUCCAGCACAUCAGACAGGUCGUUUUGCGUCUCAAGUAGCAUCAUCUUGGCUCUUAAUCAGAAAAAUGUGAAUUUCAUGUUUCUGUGGAUACCUUUUGAGGUGGUCACAUUUCUCCCAAGGGCCUACAAUGGACUCCCCAGGAGAAAGUGGCAGUUUGACACUGGUCAACACCCACUACCCUGAAACAGGUAUAGCGCUUCAUGCGCUUUGCCAAUUACCACAAAUCUAUCGGUAAUCUCAGUUCUACAGUGGCUUUCUAAGAAGGCACCUGGGCAGGGUAAGUGGAUUCCUGGGGCUCAGAGUGUCAGUGUCAUUUUUGUGGCCUUAAGAAUGUGGGCCUCUGAGGUGCUGGCUAAGUAACAGUUUAUUUCAAAAUUAAACCUGUAGUUAGUCUGUCCUUUCUUUAAUGGGAUGAUUAAAUAUUUUUGUAACAAAUCAAAAAUUGACUUCUUAUUGGAGUGCUUUUGUAAGUUUUUUACCUCAUUAAAAAUUAGGUCAUUUCUAACUUCAAAAUGUCCAUAGAAUUACACACUGUAGAAUGUUUAAAUACAACACCUACAACCAGAAAGCUUUUCCAGUUUCACUUUCCACUGGUAUUUUUCCCUCCAAAGAGACACUUCUGCUCUAUUACUCCCAGUUUUUACCAGCUGAGUCCAAUUACCUUUUGCUUCCCUGAGUGUCUACUCCUGAUUUCCAUCAGAUCCAAAAUGACAGCUCCCUACAGAGCCCUCCCAAGGACAUACCUCACAGACACCUUGUAUUGUAAAUGUUGCAACUGGUAUGUGUCUUUGGUUAAUGCUAUCUUGUUAAUAAACACUGUAUUUGGUUAUACUAGUCUACCUCUGAUGUAUUACUCUUUCACCAGAGCUGUGCCAGUGAAUAAAGCACUUGCAUACCUCAAAUUAUAGGUGCUGCUCAGAUAUACCUUUGACCUUUACCUUUAAAGUUUGACUAUUUUCCAGUUUCACUUUGCUCUAUUCCUGCUCUAUUCUCUAUUUUCUUUCCUGACAGCCCUAUGAGUAUGUAUACCUUAAUACUUAUUAGAAGGACCAGGGAGGCAGAGAGAGGAAACUGUUUUUGUCAGGAUCUGCGUCAGACCUGCCAAAGGAGUGAUACAAGAAGGGACAAGACGAAGUAUGGGCCUACAGCACGUGAAGGGCUUUUACACAACUGGUACACAACUAGAAAUGCUGGAUUGUCUGUCGCCAGUGCCCAAAGUAUCAACUGUCACCCUGGAAGCAAGAUGACUGUCAAGACUAAUUAUCCUAGGCAACAACUGAGCCAGUAUGAGUAAUCUGGACCAAAUGUGCCAUGUCAAUUUUUGGUUUGUCUUCAAUUAUCCUCAGCAGAGCCAUUGAAUCAUGGCUGGACUGCAGACAUGAGCCUACUGAAUCACUGGGGCUUUAUCCUCUUGCCCUGGGAAAAAAAAAUCAUCAAAGACAGAGUCAUAGGACAGAUUAAUACAUUUAUAGUUUUUCAAAUUAUACGCAAUAUGAAAGUGCCGGACUAUGUAAAGAUGAAUCAGGAUUAAGGGAUUGAAUUUAAGGAUGUCCCAAAUCUCAAUCACAUGUUUCCCUAGUGGAAAGCACCAAAGCAUGAACACAGAAAAUAAAAAUGCCCUUUCACCUUAGAACUUCAGAAGAACAGAUGGGACAGGAAGGCAGGACGCUGGCAUCUGUCACUCCCAGGACAGAUACUUGGAGACCACUAGGAUGGGUAUCAAAGGCUUUUUCCACAACACAGAAGAAUAAUGCACAGCCAAACACAUCACAGAUCAUGGACACAUUCAAGUAUAUUUUGUUCUUUCUUCAGGGUAGGAAAUCGGGAAAGUUUUACUAGUUUUCUAGAUGAUCAUUCUCCUUAAUGACAUGGAACUGAAAAACAAGGCUGAAAAAGUAACAAGCUAAUGUUCUUAAAAAUGGUUAAAAAACGUGUUACUUGACACUUAUCACCUUAUGUUGCAUUAAAUGAUACAACUGUAAUUAUUAUUUU